rnacentral:rRNA from 1 species
AGGAAAGCAGGGGAUCGCAAGACCUUGCGCUUUUGGAGCGGCCGAUGUCCGAUUAGCUAGUUGGUGAGGUAAAGGCUUACCAAGGCUUCGAUCAGUAGCUGGUCUGAGAGGACGACCAGCCACACUGGGACUGAGACACGGCCCAGACUCCUACGGGAGGCAGCAGUGGGGAAUUUUGGACAAUGGGGGAAACCCUGAUCCAGCCAUGCCGCGUGAGUGAAGAAGGCCUUCGGGUUGUAAAGCUCUUUCAGCCGGAACGAAAAGGUUACGGUUAAUACCCGUGACUAAUGACGGUACCGGAAGAAGAAGCACCGGCUAACUACGUGCCAGCAGCCGCGGUAAUACGUAGGGUGCGAGCGUUAAUCGGAAUUACUGGGCGUAAAGCGUGCGCAGGCGGUUUUGUAAGUCAGAUGUGAAAUCCCCGGGCUCAACCUGGGAACUGCGUUUGAAACUACAAGGCU